rnacentral:rRNA from 1 species
GACGAACGCUGGCGGCGUGCUUAACACAUGCAAGUCGAACGGAAAGGCCCUGCUAUUGUGGGGUUCUCGAGUGGCGAACGCGUGAGUAACACGUGAGUAACCUGCCCUUGUCUUUGGUAUAACUUCAGGAAACUGGGGCUACUACCGUAUAGGAUCUCCUGCUGCAUGGUGGGCAGUGGAACGUUUAGGCGGGUGGGGAUGGACUCGCGGCUGAUCAGCUAGUUGGUUGGGUAGUGGCUGACCAAGGCAGUGACGGAUAGCCGGCCUGAGAGGGUGACCGGCCACAUUGGGACUGAGAGACGGCGCAGACUCCUACGGGAGGCAGCAGUGGGGAAUAUUGCACAAUGGGCGGAAGUCUGAUGCAGCAGCGCCGCGUGCGGGAUGACGGCCUUCGGGUUGUAAACCGCUGUCGCCUGAGACGAAGCGUGAGUGACGGUAAUGGGUAAAGAAGCACCGGCUAACUACGUG